UGUACGUACAAGCAGUGGGAGCACCCUUUGGGGUGUGACUGCGUACCUUUUGUAUAAUGGGUCAGCGACUUAUAUUCUGUAGCAAGGUUAACCGAAUAGGGGAGCCGGAGGGAAACCGAGUCUUAAUUGGGCGUUAAGUUGCAGGGUAUAGACCCGAAACCCGGUGAUCUAGCCAUGGGCAGGUUGAAGGUUGGGUAACACUAACUGGAGGACCGAACCGACUAAUGUUGAAAAAUUAGCGGAUGACCUGUGGCUGGGGGUGAAAGGCCAAUCAAACCGGGAGAUAGCUGGUUCUCCCCGAAAGCUAUUUAGGUAGCGCCUCGUGAAUUCAUCUCCGGGGGUAGAGCACUGUUUCGGCUAGGGGGCCAUCCCGGCUUACCAACCCGAUGCAAACUGCGAAUACCGGAGAAUGUUAUCACGGGAGACACACGGCGGGUGCUAACGUCCGUCGUGAAGAGGGAAACAACCCAGACCGCCAGCUAAGGUCCCAAAGUCAUGGUUAAGUGGGAAACGAUGUGGGAAGGCCCAGACAGCCAGGAUGUUGGCUUAGAAGCAGCCAUCAUUUAAAGAAAGCGUAAUAGCUCACUGGUCGAGUCGGCCUGCGCGGAAGAUGUAACGGGGCUAAACCAUGCACCGAAGCUGCGGCAGCGACGCUGAUGCGUUGUUGGGUAGGGGAGCGUUCUGUAAGCCUGCGAAGGUGGCCUGUGAGGGUUGCUGGAGGUAUCAGAAGUGCGAAUGCUGACAUAAGUAACGAUAAAGCGGGUGAAAAGCCCGCUCGCCGGAAGACCAAGGGUUCCUGUCCAACGUUAAUCGGGGCAGGGUGAGUCGACCCCUAAGGCGAGGCCGAAAGGCGUAGUCGAUGGGAAACGGGUUAAUAUUCCCGUACUUGGUGUUACUGCGAAGGGGGGACGGAGAAGGCUAUGUUGGCCGGGCGACGGUUGUCCCGGUUUAAGCGUGUAGGUGUGUGUUCCAGGUAAAUCCGGUUCACUUUAACACUGAGGCGUGAUGACGAGGCACUACGGUGCUGAAGCAACAAAUGCCCUGCUUCCAGGAAAAGCCUCUAAGCAUCAGGUAACAUCAAAUCGUACCCCAAACCGACACAGGUGGUCAGGUAGAGAAUACCAAGGCGCUUGAGAGAACUCGGGUGAAGGAACUAGGCAAAAUGGUGCCGUAACUUCGGGAGAAGGCACGCUGACACGUAGGUGAAGUGAUUUACUCAUGGAGCUGAAGUCAGUCGAAGAUACCAGCUGGCUGCAACUGUUUAUUAAAAACACAGCACUGUGCAAACACGAAAGUGGACGUAUACGGUGUGACGCCUGCCCGGUGCCGGAAGGUUAAUUGAUGGGGUCAGCGCAAGCGAAGCUCCUGAUCGAAGCCCCGGUAAACGGCGGCCGUAACUAUAACGGUCCUAAGGUAGCGAAAUUCCUUGUCGGGUAAGUUCCGACCUGCACGAAUGGCGUAAUGAUGGCCAGGCUGUCUCCACCCGAGACUCAGUGAAAUUGAACUCGCUGUGAAGAUGCAGUGUACCCGCGGCAAGACGGAAAGACCCCGUGAACCUUUACUAUAGCUUGACACUGAACAUUGAGCCUUGAUGUGUAGGAUAGGUGGGAGGCUUUGAAGUGUGGACGCCAGUCUGCAUGGAGCCGGCCUUGAAAUACCACCCUUUAAUGUUUGAUGUUCUAACGUGGACCCGUGAUCCGGGUUGCGGACAGUGUCUGGUGGGUAGUUUGACUGGGGCGGUCUCCUCCUAAAGAGUAACGGAGGAGCACGAAGGUUGGCUAAUCCUGGUCGGACAUCAGGAGGUUAGUGCAAUGGCAUAAGCCAGCUUGACUGCGAGCGUGACGGCGCGAGCAGGUGCGAAAGCAGGUCAUAGUGAUCCGGUGGUUCUGAAUGGAAGGGCCAUCGCUCAACGGAUAAAAGGUACUCCGGGGAUAACAGGCUGAUACCGCCCAAGAGUUCAUAUCGACGGCGGUGUUUGGCACCUCGAUGUCGGCUCAUCACAUCCUGGGGCUGAAGUAGGUCCCAAGGGUAUGGCUGUUCGCCAUUUAAAGUGGUACGCGAGCUGGGUUUAGAACGUCGUGAGACAGUUCGGUCCCUAUCUGCCGUGGGCGCUGGAGAACUGAGGGGGGCUGCUCCUAGUACGAGAGGACCGGAGUGGACGCAUCACUGGUGUUCGGGUUGUCAUGCCAAUGGCACUGCCCGGUAGCUAAAUGCGGAAGAGAUAAGUGCUGAAAGCAUCUAAGCACGAAACUUGCCCCGAGAUGAGUUCUCCCUGAGACUUAGAGUCUCCUGAAGGAACGUUGAAGACGACGACGUUGAUAGGCCGGGUGUGUAAGCGCAGCGAUGCGUUGAGCUAACCGGUACUAAUG
rnacentral:rRNA from 1 species